UACGUGGAAGCACAUGAGAAAGAAAGAAAGAAGAAGAGAAGAAAAAGGGGGAAGAAGAAGAAGAAAAAAAUUGGGGCUUUGAGGUUUCUUGCUCAAAUCUUCUCAUUUAUGGUCAAAAUUCUCAAAGGAUAGCUUGUCGCUUGCUUAAAUGUUAAGAUCGGGCUGAGGUAGUGGAAAGCUAAAAGAUUUUGGGCAGAUCUUUAUUAGUAUAUAUGUUUUUGUUGUAUAAGUACACUCUGCAUCUAAUGAAAUGUUGACGAUGAAUCUAAACUUGUGGAUGUGGUACAAGUUUAAAGGACCUCUCAUGUUUAGGAUUCUGGAAUGUUAAGUUUAAUUUGUGUAACGAUAUGAACUUAUGGUAAACGUUGGUUUUGUGACUGUAUAGACUCUCACACUUGUGAAUUUAUGUUGUGGUUAUUAAUUUGAUGAGUUGGGUUUAGAUUUUA